GUGAAUCAUCGAAUCUUUGAACGCAAAUUGCACUCUCUUGCAUUCCGGAGAGUAUUCCUGUUUGAGGGUCAGUUUAAAUAAAAAUCUAGGUUUUGCUGCUUUGUGACCCAUCGGAAUUGUGCUAUCUUUGACCUUUUAAAAAGUGUAAGUGACCUAAAAUUGUUACCUUGUGCAUCUCAGACGUACAUUAUAAUAUUUUUUUAUCCGUCUUGAGUUUCCAACUUUUUAUUAGUUAUGACCAUUCGGUUUGUGGCGUCGUACCUAUUUUAUACUCAUUUUU
rnacentral:misc_RNA from 1 species